CCUACGGGUGGCAGCAGUGGGGAAUAUUGCACAAUGGGCGCAAGCCUGAUGCAGCCAUGCCGCGUGUGUGAAGAAGGCCUUCGGGUUGUAAAGCACUUUCAGCGGGGAGGAAGGCGUUAAGGUUAAUAACCUUGGCGAUUGACGUUACCCGCAGAAGAAGCACCGGCUAACUCCGUGCCAGCAGCCGCGGUAGUACGGAGGGUGCAAGCGUUAAUCGGAAUUACUGGGCGUAAAGCGCACGCAGGCGGUCUGUCAAGUCGGAUGUGAAAUCCCCGGGCUCAACCUGGGAACUGCAUUCGAAACUGGCAGGCUAGAGUCUUGUAGAGGGGGGUAGAAUUCCAGGUGUAGCGGUGAAAUGCGUAGAGAUCUGGAGGAAUACCGGUGGCGAAGGCGGCCCCCUGGACAAAGACUGACGCUCAGGUGCGAAAGCGUGGGGAGCAAACAGGAUUAGAUACCCCAGUAGUC
rnacentral:rRNA from 1 species